CCUACGGGAGGCAGCAGUUAAGAAUCUUGCGCAAUGGGGGAAACCCUGACGCAGCGACGCCGCGUGAAGGAUGAAGGCUUUCGGGUUGUAAACUUCGGUAGACUGGGAAGAAAAAGUAAGUUCGUUGAGGGCUUACAUUGACGGUACCAGUCUGAAGCCCCGGCUAAUUACGUGCCAGCAGCCGCGUAAUACGUAUGGGGCAAGCGUUGUUCGGAAUUAUUGGGCGUAAAGGGCUCGCAGGUGGUUUGUUAAGUUGGUGGUUUAAUCUCUGGGCUCAACCCAGAGUCAGCCAUCAAAACUGGCGAACUUGAGUACGAUAGGGGAUAGCGGAAUUCUCGGUGUAGCGGUGGAAUGCGUAGAUAUCGAGAGGACACCAAUGGCGAAGGCAGCUAUCUGGAUCGUAACUGACACUCAUGAGCGAAAGUGCGGGGAGCAAACAGGAUUAGAUACCCUGGUAGUCCGCACCGUAAACGUUGUAUACUAGUUGUUGGUGGUUUCAACGCCAUCAGUGACGUCCUAACGCAUUAAGUAUACCGCCUGGGGAGUAUGCUCGCAAGGGUGAAACUCAAAGGAAUUGACGG
rnacentral:rRNA from 1 species